ACGCUGGCGGCGUGCUUAACACAUGCAAGUCGAACGGUGAACACGGAGCUUGCUCUGUGGGAUCAGUGGCGAACGGGUGAGUAACACGUGAGCAACCUGCCCCUGACUCUGGGAUAAGCGCUGGAAACGGCGUCUAAUACUGGAUAUGUGACGUGACCGCAUGGUCUGCGUUUGGAAAGAUUUUUCGGUUGGGGAGGGGCUCGCGGCCUAUCAGCUUGUUGGUGAGGUAAUGGCUCACCAAGGCGUCGACGGGUAGCCGGCCUGAGAGGGUGACCGGCCACACUGGGACUGAGACACGGCCCAGACUCCUACGGGAGGCAGCAGUGGGGAAUAUUGCACAAUGGGCGAAAGCCUGAUGCAGCAACGCCGCGUGAGGGAUGACGGCCUUCGGGUUGUAAACCUCUUUUAGCAGGGAAGAAGCGAAAGUGACGGUACCUGCAGAAAAAGCGCCGGCUAACUACGUGCCAGCAGCCGCGGUAAUACGUAGGGCGCAAGCGUUAUCCGGAAUUAUUGGGCGUAAAGAGCUCGUAGGCGGUUUGUCGCGUCUGCUGUGAAAUCCCGAGGCUCAACCUCGGGCCUGCAGUGGGUACGGGCAGACUAGAGUGCGGUAGGGGAGAUUGGAAUUCCUGGUGUAGCGGUGGAAUGCGCAGAUAUCAGGAGGAACACCGAUGGCGAAGGCAGAUCUCUGGGCCGUAACUGACGCUGAGGAGCGAAAGGGUGGGGAGCAAACAGGCUUAGAUACCCUGGUAGUCCACCCCGUAAACGUUGGGAACUAGUUGUGGGGUCCAUUCCACGGAUUCCGUGACGCAGCUAACGCAUUAAGUUCCCCGCCUGGGGAGUACGGCCGCAAGGCUAAAACUCAAAGGAAUUGACGGGGACCCGCACAAGCGGCGGAGCAUGCGGAUUAAUUCGAUGCAACGCGAAGAACCUUACCAAGGCUUGACAUAUACGAGAACGGGCCAGAAAUGGUCAACU
rnacentral:rRNA from 1 species